GGACACAAAUAAAAAAUAAUCAAUUUUUUUUCGAUUUAUAAUUUUAUAUAAUAUAUAUAAAAAUUUUUUUUAAUAUUUCAAUGUUAUAUUUAUUAAAAAUUUAUCAUAAUAUUUAAACCUUAAUAUUUCAAAAAUCUACAUAAAAAAAAACUUUUUAAAUGUUACACAUUAAUUCUUUAUUAAUAAGGAUAUUCACCAUACUAGCCUUCAUUUGUUUAGCAACAAUUCAAUGUGGAUUACUUGAAGAAGAACGCACACAAGUUCAAUCUAAUAAAGAUCAAGAAAUGAAGAUGACUGACCAUGUUAGAAGUACAUAUUUACUGACUACAGAGAUUCCUCUUUACCAACGUAUUAUAGGAGGUUGAUUCAACAAGAUAAAAUGCUUUGGCACAAUUGUUUAUUUAGGAUGUGAUGUGAUGGGGAAAAAAAUUUUUACAUUUAAAAUUUAUAUAUGAUUAUAAUUAUUGGAAUUAAUAAAUUGUAAAAUUUUAAUCUAAAUUUUGCUGUUGUCCGAAAACCCAUUUUGGGUAAUCAUUAGGCUCAGAAAAUCUCAUUAAAAAAAUGAUAGAUAUCAGUUUUUUUUUGUAUCAUUUUUUGUUAUAAGAUAAAUUUUAUUUGUAUUUA